UACGGGGGGGGGCAAGCGUUGUUCGGAAUUACUGGGCGUAAAGGGCCAGUAGGCGGCCAACUAAGUCACACGUGAAAUCCCCAGGCUUAACCUGGGAACUGCGUGUGAUACUGGAUGGCUUGAAUUCGGGAGAGGGAUGCAGAAUUCCAGGUGUAGCGGUGAAAUGCGUAGAUAUCUGGAGGAAUACCGGUGGCGAAGGCGGCAUCCUGGACCGACAUUGACGCUGAACGGCGAAAGCUAGGGGAGCA
rnacentral:rRNA from 1 species